rnacentral:rRNA from 1 species
GACGAACGCUGGCGGCGUGCUUAACACAUGCAAGUCGAACGAAGAGCGAUGGAAGCUUGCUUCUCUCAAUCUUAGUGGCGAACGGGUGAGUAACGCGUAAUCAACCUUCCCUUCAGAGGGGGACAACAGUUGGAAACGACUGCUAAUACCGCAUACGAUCUAAUCUCGGCAUCGAGGAUAGAUGAAAGGUGGCCUCUACAUGUAAGCUCUCACUGAAGGAGGGGAUUGCGUCUGAUUAGCUAGUUGGAGGGGUAACGGCCCACCAAGGCGAUGAUCAGUAGCCGGUCGGAGAGGAUGAACGGCCACAUUGGGACGGAGACACGGCCCAGACUCCUACGGGAGGCAGCAGUGGGGAAUCUUCCGCAAUGGAAGAAAGGCUGACGGAGCAACGCCGCGGGAGUGAUGACGGCCGUCGGGUUGUAAAGCUCGGUUAAUCGGGACGAAAGGCCUUCUUGCGAAUAGUGAGAAGGAUUGACGGUACCGGAAGAGAAAGCCACGGCUAACUACGUG